rnacentral:lncRNA from 12 species
AUGUUUUUGUUUCAACAGCUUCCCCUGGAAAUCCUCAGUGAAGUUAUUUUGUCAACAGGUGACUCUACAUAUAUGACACUUUCUCUGGUAUGCAGAUGGUUUAGAGAUGUGGUCACUCAAGAAGUUUUUCGGAAAGCGGCACACUUUGCCUGGCUAGACAUUGUGGCCAACUGGAAUAAUUUUACUCCUGUCUACCGGAUCAAGUUCAGACGGAUGAACAGCAUCAGGGAAUGCUUGCAGUUCAGAGCCCUUUUCAAGUCAAACCCACCAGGGUACAGGGGAAGAGGCCGGAAGAGGCCAGUUUUACAGGAUUUUGUUCCAAGCUAUGUAUUGCUUAAAGCAGGCCUGAAGUCCAUCUAAUUAAUGAAUUCUUAAUUUUAGUUGUGGCAAUUCUGUGUAAUAUUUCAAUUACCAAUGAUUUUAGAAAGUGUUUAAAGGGGUGAUUAAAUGUAUUAUGCUUUUAUAUAGAAGUGGGUAACUACAUAAAUGCAGGAUUAAGGAGGUUUUCAGAAGUGCGGUUCAGAUAACAAAUUACAGAAAAAGUGACGUGUUUUUUGGGUUCAAGUUCUUUAGAACCUGUAUAGUUCCUUCCUUGCAAAAAGUAACCAUGGUUUAAUUGUAGUAAAAAUAUUUGUUGGCAUAUUAAUUACCAUGUGUUGUAACCAUAAAAACACCAAAGAUAACUAUAGUUUUUGUAGCAAAACCAUGGUAAAUUUUUGUAGGGGCUAAGGGAAUGUUCAGUUUAUUAUUGGUGCCGUUCAGAGACUGGUGACAAUUUGUUACACACACACACACACAUACAUACAUGCAUAUAUAUAUAUAUAUAUAAUGUGAAUAUAUAAAUCAAGGUACUACAUAACUAUCUACAUAACCAUACUUCGCAUUAUAUUGCCGUGUCACUUUCAAAAACCAGCGAGUAAUGCCGAGGUAGUGUCUAAUACAGCCGUUGAGGGAGUAAAUUAAACCAUUUAUUUAUAUUCUGUUUGUCGUAAUCCAAAACUCUUUGUAUUUAUAUGGGGUGUUGUGGAAACGCAACAAACGCAAAAACACAACAUUUAUAUUCGCUUUUUAAUUUAUAUUAAAAGUUUAUUCAUCUGAAUGUCUACUUCCGCAUUCCAAUCCUGCUCACAGCGUCAUAAUUCUCUACACCAAUAAGCUGUAAAAUCGUCACUCAUCUGUACACCAAUAAGCUCAUCUUAAUCAUAAACCAAUAACUGCUGAGGUGGGCGGGGCGACACGCGUCGCUCCGCCCCAACGUGUCGCCCCGCCCCAUCGUCCAGACUGCACUCUGGACUACUUGGGUCGAGGUGGUGGUUUGGCUUCUCUUUUUAAGGACGAUUAUAGAUGCAGAUUAUUACCUGCUUACUGUUACGCUAGUUUUGAGCUCCAAUUGCUAGUGGUUGACCUGAAUUCACCUGUUUUAUUUGCUGUCAUUUAUCGUUCACCAAAACCCAACAAAGAUUUUAUCUGUGAGUUUUCUGAGUUUUUGGCUGAUGUCGUUCCUAAAUUUGAUAAGCUCCUGAUCUGUGGGGACUUCAAUAUUCAUGUCUGUUGCCCCUUAAAUGCUUUUGCUAAUGAUUUUAAAAAUGUGUUAAACUCUUAUGGCCUUAACCAAUGUGUAAACAGGCCAACACAUAAUCUAGGCCAUACCUUGGAUCUUAUUAUUUCUCUUGGUCUUUCAGUUUCAGUCACAGAAAUAUUAGAAUCAGGUUUUUCAGAUCACUUUCCCAUUAAAUUUGAGAUCACUGUUCCACAACCUCCUAAACUUGUACUUUCAGUUUCUAAGCGUCGCUGUUUCACACCCUCUUCAGCUGGAGAGUUUGUUUCGAUGUUCUUGGGCUCUCAGUUUUAUGCCAAAAAUGGUAUGGUUCAGUGUUUCCCACAGCCUUAAACUCUAUUUGUGGCGGCACUCCCCCGCCCCCAUAUAUACAUAUAUAUGCAAAUUCAUUUUCUGCCAGCAGGAGGCGCUUUAAGAGCGGGAGAGAUACAGGAUUCUCCGGUAACGGCUGCGAAGCAGUGCUGAGCUCACAAACGCUGCCUUAUCAAGCAUUACAUGCAAAAUGAAAUAAAAAUGAAAUCGAAAUUUUUCUAAAUACAGUCGGUUUCCUUCUGAAAUACAGUGAUAUAAAAACACCCGCAUUGGUUUUUGAUUUUGAAACGUGGAGUGCUCAUGUUUAUUCAAUGAAGUCAAAGCCUUUUGGAAAAUCUAUUUGUGGCGGUCAGUUUUGAUAUUGUGGCGGCCCGCCACAAAUAAAUCAAUGUGUGGGAAACCCUGUGGUUCUUCCAUUGUCCUCAGACAACAUUCUUUCUGCUUUCUAUUCAGAAACUGUAGAAAUUCUAGACACAGUUGCCCCUUACCGGCUUAAGUCUAUUAAACCUAAACCGGACCCCUGGUUAAAUGACAACACAAGAGCCAGAAGGCAACAUUGCAGACAAGCUGGAAGGAAGUGGAAGAAGGACAAAUUGCAAGUUUCUCUGGGAAUGUUAAGGAAUAGUCUUGUAGAGUAUCAGAGGGCAGUAAAGGUGGCAAAGAUGGAUUAUCUCUCAUCUGUCAUAGUUAACAGCUCUCAUGUACCUGAGGUCUUAUUUAACACUAUAAGCUCUGUUUUAAAUCCACGUAAGUAAGCUUUGACAGAGGCUUCAACUAGUAUGUGUGAGAAGUUUUUAUGUUACUUUAUUGAUAAAGUAGCUUCAGUUAGGCAAAAUGCCAGUGUUGAUCUUAGUGAGUUUGUACCUGCUGAUCCUUUUUACUCCGCUGUCUUUGGGGAAUUUAAACCUCUCUCUUCUUUAGGGAAUUUUGGGGAAUUUAAAUCUCUUUGUCGUUGCUCUCUCAGGUUGUACACCACAUGAAACCUACCAAUUGUAGUUUAGAUAUUGUUCCUGCUUGGAUGCUCAAGGAAGUUUUUAGUACUCUUGGGCUGAGUUUUACUCACGUUUUUAAAUUUUUGUCUCAGUUCUGGCUCAUUCCCGGAUGCAUUUAAACAUGCCGUCGUCAGACCCCUGCUUAAAAAACCGAAUCUUGAUCCUAAUGUUUUGUCGAAUUUUAGACCAGUCUCACAUCUGUCUUUCAUUUCGAAGGUGUUAUAAAAGCUUGUUUUUAAUCAGUUACAAGCUUUUCUAAAACAUAAUUCUGUGUUUGAGAAGUUUCAAUCUGGUUUUAGAUCACGUCAAAGCACCGAAUCGGCAGUGUUAAGGGUUCAAAAUGAUAUAGCACUAUCUGUAGAUUCAGGGGAUCCUACUGUAUUAGUGCUCCUGGAUUUAACGGCAGCAUUUGAUACAAACAAACUGUAAGGAAUUUGG